GUAGAUUUCAGUUGGCUAACAAAACGUUGAAUACACAACAAGUGAGUCAAACUAUAUGACAAUAUACUAUACUCGAACUACAAAAUAAUGCAGUAAACCACAGUAAUAUAGCAAAACUAUGUCUACCACAUAGCUAAAAGGCAUAACUAUAAAAUCAAAAAUAGAGUUUAAUAUUAUUGACAAUAAUAAAGCUAGAGUUUUUUAAUACAAAAUUUAAUAUUGUUUACAAUAAAACAAAAUCAAAAAGACAAUUUUUGUAUAGAAUACUACUAAUACAUGAAAAAGAGAAAAUUGAUCUCAAUGUUUAAAUAUAGCUAAAAACAAAUAAUUAAACCAUAAAAUCACAUACCUAGCACAACACUGUGUAUCUUGUUUUGUACGUGAAGAGGGAGCUAACGCAAAAUCACCUCCACGUUUACUCGUCAUUGGAAACAUGAAAUCAAAAAUAAAAAUUGAAUGAAAAACCAUUUAGAAAAAUACAAUGAGAAAUUUAAUGAAGAUGAAAAGAAACAAGAUGAAUCGUAAAGAGGAGAAUAACAAGAUGGAAUAAAAUUAGGAUUAGGCUUCAAUCCGCAUGCAUUUGACUUUUCAAGGAUUUAUGUUUAUGAAAUCUUGUUCUUGAGCUCUCACAUGAUUAGGAAUUAGAAUAGCAAUGUCUCUUUGUAUUUUAUAAUUAAAUUAUGUAAUAAAAUAUGAAAUCUACUUUACAAAUUUAAAAUAAUAAUAAAAUAUAAUUAAUCGACAUAGAAUUUUUCACAUUAUCCGUUUUUUGACACAUCACAAAAAAAAUGAUAUUUCAUAAUAUUUAAAACGUAUGACAAAUAAAAUAAAAUACUAUUUUUACAAUUAAGUUACAAUUAAAUUAAAAUUUUAUAAAAAUUAAAAACAUUUAUAACCUAACAAGAAAUUAUUUUUUUGAACGUAAGAAAAUAUUAAAGCAUAGAAAUAAGACCAAAAGAAGAAAGUAGAGCAAGAUUUAAUGGCAACAAUACCUUUGGCCAAUUACUUAUAAUCAUCUUAUUAUGGAUGUUGAAACUAAACUCACUCUUCUUCAGUUGAAUUGAACGUAGAAUCAUUUCUGAUAGAAUCGUUAAAC
rnacentral:lncRNA from 1 species